CGGAGGAAAAGAAACCAACAGGGAUUGCCUUAGUAGCGGCGAGUGAAGCGGCAAAAGCUCAAAUUUGAAAUCUGGCUCUUUCAGAGUCCGAGUUGUAAUUUGAAGAAGGUAUCUUUGGGUCUGGCUCUUGUCUAUGUUUCUUGGAACAGAACGUCACAGAGGGUGAGAAUCCCGUGCGAUGAGAUGAUCCAGGCCUAUGUAAAGUUCCUUCGAAGAGUCGAGUUGUUUGGGAAUGCAGCUCUAAGUGGGUGGUAAAUUCCAUCUAAAGCUAAAUAUUGGCGAGAGACCGAUAGCGAACAAGUACAGUGAUGGAAAGAUGAAAAGAACUUUGAAAAGAGAGUGAAAAAGUACGUGAAAUUGUUGAAAGGGAAGGGCUUGAGAUCAGACUUGGUAUUUUGUAUGUUACUUCUUCGGGGGUGGCCUCUACAGUUUAUCGGGCCAGCAUCAGUUUGGGCGGUAGGAGAAUUGCGUUGGAAUGUGGCACGGCUUCGGUUGUGUGUUAUAGCCUUCGUCGAUACUGCCAGCCUAGACUGAGGACUGCGGUUAUACCUGCGAUCA
rnacentral:rRNA from 1 species